rnacentral:rRNA from 1 species
GACGAAGGGGGCUAGCGUUGUUCGGAAUUACUGGGCGUAAAGCGCGUGUAGGUGGUUGUCCAAGUUGGAUGUGAAAGCCUUGAGCUCAACUCAAGAAAUGCAUUCAGGACUGGGCGGCUAGAGGACCGGAGAGGAUAGUGGAAUUCCCAGUGUAGUGGUGAAAUACGUAGAGAUUGGGAAGAACACCAGUGGCGAAGGCGGCUAUCUGGCUCGAUACUGACGCUGAGGUGCGAAAGCUAGGGUAGCAAACGGG